AGCGGGGAGGAAGCUUGCUUUCUCCGCCGGCGACCGGCGCACGGGUGAGUAACACGUAUGCAACCUGCCCCUGUCAGGGGGACAACCCGCCGAAAGGCGGGCUAAACCCGCGUACAUGCCACCGGGGCAUCCCGGAGGCAGGAAAGGCUUCGGCCGGACAGGGAUGGGCAUGCGGCGCAUUAGGCAGUAGGCGGGGUAACGGCCCACCUAACCGACGAUGCGUAGGGGUUCUGAGAGGAAGGUCCCCCACACUGGUACUGAGACACGGACCAGACUCCUACGGGAGGCAGCAGUGAGGAAUAUUGGUCAAUGGUCGGGAGACUGAACCAGCCAAGCCGCGUGAGGGAGGAAGGUACAGAGUAUCGUAAACCUCUUUUGUCAGGGAACAAAGACUGGGACGCGUCCCCGGAUGAGUGUACCUGAAGAAAAAGCAUCGGCUAACUCCGUGCCAGCAGCCGCGGUAAUACGGAGGAUGCGAGCGUUAUCCGGAUUUAUUGGGUUUAAAGGGUGCGCAGGCGGUCUGUUAAGUCAGCGGUCAAAGCCCGGGGCUCAACCCCGGCCCGCCGUUGAAACUGGCAGUCUCGAGUUGGAGAGAAGUAUGCGGAAUGCGCGGUGUAGCGGUGAAAUGCAUAGAUAUCGCGCAGAACUCCGAUUGCGAAGGCAGCAUGCCGGCUCCACACUGACGCUGAGGCACGAAAGCGUGGGUAUCGAACA
rnacentral:rRNA from 1 species